rnacentral:lncRNA from 1 species
GGGUGAAUUAAGUUUCAAAAACUUUUACAAACUUAAAUAAUUACAUGCAAAAGAACUACUUAAUUAUAUCUUCAAGCCUGUUGGAUAAGUUUUCCAAGGGAAGACAGUUAGAAUACAUCUAAAGUAAGGCCAUCAAUUUUUAAUAUACCUAAUGGUUUAGUAGAUUUUCGAAGAUUAAGAUUGGUUGAGUGAAGGCAGCAAGC